rnacentral:rRNA from 1 species
GGUGAUGAUAAUGACGUGGAUACACCUGUUCCCAUACCGAACACAGAAGUUAAGCACGUUCAUGCUGAAAAUACUUGCGAGUUACCUUGCUGGAAAGAUAGGUCGUUGC